AGUUGCGAAGGCGGCUCUCUGGACUGUAACUGACGCUGAGGCACGAAAGCGUGGGGAGCAAACAGGAUUAGAUACCCUGGUAGUCCACGCUGUAAACGAUGAGUACUAGGUGUCGGGGGUUACCCCCUUCGGUGCCGCAGCUAACGCAUUAAGUACUCCGCCUGGGAAGUACGCUCGCAAGAGUGAAACUCACAGGAAUUGACGGGGACCCGCACAAGUAGCGGAGCAUGUGGUUUAAUUCGAAGCAACGCGAAGAACCUUACCUAAGCUUGACAUCCCAAGACAUCUCCUUAAUCGGAGAGUUCCCUUCGGGGACAUUGGUGACAGGUGGUGCAUGGUUGUCGUCAGCUCGUGUCGUGAGAUGUUGGGUUAAGUCCCGCAACGAGCGCAACCCUUGUCUUUAGUUGCCAUCAUUAAGUUGGGCACUCUAGAGA
rnacentral:rRNA from 1 species